rnacentral:lncRNA from 1 species
UUCACUCGCAAUGAACAAGGAGCUACUAUCACAUUUCCAUACGGAGGAAGUAUUGGGCUGUUCUCAAAUUUAUGGCACUGUUUAAAGCAUCAAGAGUACUAGCUAGAAACUCAGUAGGAUUUAUCAUGGUUGCGUGUACUUACCCCCAUCAUGGUGUUUUGGAUGCUCUCGUUGCGGAAGCUUGAGCAUGUGAGCAAGCUAUCACUUUU